GAUGAACGCUGGCGGCGUGCCUAAUACAUGCAAGUCGAGCGAACGGACGAGAAGCUUGCUUCUCUGAUGUUAGCGGCGGACGGGUGAGUAACACGUGGAUAACCUACCUAUAAGACUGGGAUAACUUCGGGAAACCGGAGCUAAUACCGGAUAAUAUUUUGAACCGCAUGGUUCAAUAGUGAAAGACGGUUUUGCUGUCACUUAUAGAUGGAUCCGCGCUGCAUUAGCUAGUUGGUAAGGUAACGGCUUACCAAGGCAACGAUGCAUAGCCGACCUGAGAGGGUGAUCGGCCACACUGGAGCUGAGACAUGGUCCAGACUCCUACGGGAGGCAGCAGUAGGGAAUCUUCCGCAAUGGGCGAAAGCCUGACGGAGCAACGCCGCGUGAGUGAUGAAGGUCUUCGGAUCGUAAAACUCUGUUAUUAGGGAAGAACAUAUGUGUAAGUAACUGUGCACAUCUUGACGGUACCUAAUCAGAAAGCCACGGCUAACUACGUG
rnacentral:rRNA from 1 species